rnacentral:rRNA from 1 species
CUAGUUGGUGAGGUAACGGCUCACCAAGGCAUCGACGGGUAGCUGGUCUGAGAGGACGAUCAGCCACACUGGGACUGAGACACGGCCCAGACUCCUACGGGAGGCAGCAGUGGGGAAUCUUGCGCAAUGGGCGAAAGCCUGACGCAGCAACGCCGCGUGGAGGACGAAUGCUUUCUGAGUUGUAAACUCCUUUCAGCAGGGACGAUAGUGACGGUACCUGCAGAAGAAGCACCGGCCAACUACGUGCCAGCAGCCGCGGUGAUACGUAGGGUGCAAGCGUUAUCCGGAUUUAUUGGGCGUAAAGAGCUCGUAGGCGGUUUGAUAAGUCGGGUGUGAAACCUCCAGGCUCAACCUGGAGCCGCCACUCGAUACUGUCAUGACUAGAAUGCGGUAGGGGACCACGGAAUUCCUGGUGUAGCGGUGAAAUGCGCAGAUAUCAGGAGGAACACCAGCAGCGAAGGCGGUGGUCUGGGCCGACAUUGACGCUGAGGAGCGAAAGCGUGGGGAGCGAACAGGAUUAGAUACCCUGGUAGUCCACGCCGUAAACGUUGGGCACUAGGUGUGGGGACUAUUCAACGGUUUCCGUGCCGCAGCUAACGCAUUAAGUGCCCCGCCUGGGGAGUACGGCCGCAAGGCUAAAACUCAAAGGAAUUGACG